rnacentral:rRNA from 1 species
UGGCGGACGGGUGAGUAAUGCCUGGGAAAUUGCCCUGAUGUGGGGGAUAACCAUUGGAAACGAUGGCUAAUACCGCAUGAUAGCUUCGGCUCAAAGAGGGGGACCUUCGGGCCUCUCGCGUCAGGAUAUGCCCAGGUGGGAUUAGCUAGUUGGUGAGGUAAGGGCUCACCAAGGCGACGAUCCCUAGCUGGUCUGAGAGGAUGAUCAGCCACACUGGAACUGAGACACGGUCCAGACUCCUACGGGAGGCAGCAGUGGGGAAUAUUGCACAAUGGGCGCAAGCCUGAUGCAGCCAUGCCGCGUGUGUGAAGAAGGCCUUCGGGUUGUAAAGCACUUUCAGUCGUGAGGAAGGUUUAUGCGUUAAUAGCGUAUAGAUUUGACGUUAGCGACAGAAGAAGCACCGGCUAACUCCGUGCCAGCAGCCGCGGUAAU